CGUUAUCUUCCGUAAGGUCGAAAUAAUACGUAUCGCCGUCCGCCGAAUAAAAAUACAGCAGAUUUUCUUUGCCGCGCACCAGGCUGUAAACGCCGCGAACGCUUGUGCCGUUGGGAGCAACGUAUUCGGCAAGCAGUCCGUAUCCGUCCAGAUUCAGAUUGCCUUCCGUCGCCGAAGUAAAUUCCCCGUUCAGCUUUUCGUUAUAUUUGUAAAUAUUGAUCGAAGAAGAACCUUUCACGCGCAGGAAUCUGAAAGUGAUUGCCUUAUCGUCGUCGGUUUUUCCCGUGAAUACGCACACAUACAGGGAAGAAUUGAACGGAUCGCCUUCUUCGGUCUGUUCAAACGUACCCUUGUACGUCGUGGUAACUCUUUCUUCGCCGGAACCGGUAAUCACCGUAUACGAGGCGCCGCCGCCCGCCGAAGUGCCCGUGCCGUCGAACGUAAGAUACUGCGUUCUGUCGGCAGCACCGUACUCGUUUACGAGAUAGGAAGAAUAAGGAGAAGUCCAGAGAACUUCGAACGUACCUUUCUCUUCGUCGAUUUUCACGUAAGCGGUGCUCUUGCCGUUCGUAAUCGCGGUUACGUUCGUGCUCUUACUCGUGGAAUAGGUGCCCGAAGUAACGAUGCCGUCGUUAUCCAGCACCAUAAUGCUGCCGAUUUUCUUCAGCGUAACUUUUGCGUUGGAAGAGGCAUAAACCUUCUGAUAGUUUUCCACUUCCUCGCCGAUCGUGGUUGUAUACCAGUAAUACACGCGAUAGGAAGUGCUGGCGGUAUCCAGGCAAAGCACAGCCGUUUUCAGGUUGGUUACGUCGUACAGCCCCAUACCGCCCGUUACUUCGUAGCUCUUCGUAGCCGUAUAGGUGUACAGUCCGUCCGUUUCCGUGUACGUGCCUUCGGAAGCGAUCACAUACGAUUUCGCCAUCGAUACGUAUUCGUAAAUGGAAGCCGUACCCUCGGCUUUAUCGUUCAAUACGAAAAGCGGUCCCGGCUGCGGCUUAGAGUUGUCGGCGCUCAGGAAAUAAUAUUCGGCGUAAUCCGCAGGUUUUUCGGUAAAGCUGUACUUCGUAACCGUCGUCGUCUUGCCGUCGGAACCGAUUUCUUCUUCCGUGCGGGAAGUAAUCAUAAAACUGUACCGCACGUCGUUUACACUCAUCCCCACCAUCGUGCCCAUCACGGAGGAAGAAGUUGCGUACAAGCCGUCCGUAAUUACGCCGUCCGCGUUUUUAUACGAAAGAUUGUAAACGCCGUCCAUCGUAAUGGUCGCGCCGUUCUCGCCUUCGAUCGUGCGGUCGUAUUCGGCAUUAUAGAACAUCCAGCCCGUUUUACCGUUGUAAUCGAACACGCGCAGCGUGUACUGCGGCAAACGGUAAGAAUUAUACAAGGUGAUUUCGCCGUUUGCCAUCUUGUAAUAGAACUGCGAAGCCUGCGGAUUCUCGGUGGUGCCCGCGUUCAGCGAUGCGAUGCCGAACCCGUUCAGCGAAAGCUGCAUGUAUCCGUCGGCGUACAUCGAGCUUAAAAUCAGCGACGAGCCGUUUACUAUAUGGCGGUACAUCGAACCGAUUUCUUCGUCGUUUCUCUGCACGAAAACUUUCGCGCCGCUGUUUAAAUUGCCGCGGAAGAACGUAAGCGUUUUGCCUUCCAGUUCGCCGUCGGAGAACGUCGCCACGAAGUAGCCGUCCUUGUCCAGCAGAUACUUACCCUCGGAAGAAUGAUUGAGUUCGCCCUCCGUGCGGAUAUAUUCCAGCGUGUUGUCGCUUUUAAACGUAAUCGUUCUGGUGUCGUCCGUUUUGCCCGUCGCGUAAUCGAACGCGGUAGCCAUACCGGAACGGCUGUCGUCCAGAUACGCAAACGCGUCGUCGCUCACCAGUUUUCCGUUCAGGUUAAAGCUUCUGCCGUUGAAUUCGAAGCUGGAAUUCGAAGCUCUGUCGGGUAAGUUCCGACCCGCACGAAAGGUGUAACGACUUGGGCACUGUCUCAACGAGGGACCCGGUGAAAUUGAAGUACCUGUGAAGAUGCAGGUUACCCGCGACUGGACAGAAAGACCCCAUGGAGCUUUACUGCAACCUGACAUUGAUGUUCGGUAAAUAACGUACAGGAUAGGUGGGAGACGGAGAAGUAUUGGCGUUAGCUGAUAUGGAGUCAACCUUGGGAUACCACCCUUUAUUUAUUGGACCUCUAACUGAAGAAGUAACGACUCUCAGGACAGUAUCAGGCGGGCAGUUUGACUGGGGCGGUCGCCUCCCAAAAUGUAACGGAGGCGCCCAAAGGUUCCCUCAGCGCGAACGGAAACCGCGCAAAGAGUGUAAAGGCAGAAGGGAGCUUGACUGCGAGUCAGACACGACGAGCAGGUACGAAAGUAGGGCUUAGUGAUCCGGUGGUUCCGAGUGGAAGGGCCAUCGCUCAACGGAUAAAAGCUACCCUGGGGAUAACAGGCUAAUCUCUCCCAAGAGUCCAUAUCGACGGGGAGGUUUGGCACCUCGAUGUCGGCUCAUCACAUCCUGGGGCUGGAGCAGGUCCCAAGGGUUGGGCUGUUCGCCCAUUAAAGUGGUACGUGAGCUGGGUUCAGAACGUCGUGAGACAGUUCGGUCCAUAUCCAUCGCGGGCGUAAGAGACUUGAAGGGGGCUGCUCCUAGUACGAGAGGACCGGAGUGGACGGACCAAUGGUGUACCAAUUAUCCCGCCAGGGGUACAGUUGGGUAGCUACGUCCGGAAAAGAUAAACGCUGAAAGCAUCUAAGCGUGAAACUUGCCUUAAGAUGAGGUCUCCCGAAGCGAAAGCUUGAAAGACACCUUGAAGAUGACGAGGUUGAUAGGCCAGGAGUAGAAGUUCAGUAAUGAAUGUAGCGUACUGGUACUAAUAUGUCGAGAGCUUAACUU
rnacentral:rRNA from 1 species